AACGAACGCUGGCGGCAGGCUUAACACAUGCAAGUCGAGCGCCCCGCAAGGGGAGCGGCAGACGGGUAAGUAACGCGUGGGAAUCUACCCAUCUCUACGGAAUAACGCAUGGAAACGUGUGCUAAUACCGUAUACGUCCUUCGGGAGAAAGAUUUAUCGGAGAUGGAUGAGCCCGCGUUGGAUUAGCUAGUUGGUGGGGUAAAGGCCUACCAAGGCGACGAUCCAUAGCUGGUCUGAGAGGAUGAUCAGCCACACUGGGACUGAGACACGGCCGAGACUCGUACGGGCGGCAGCAGUGGGGAAUAUUGGACAAUGGGCGCAAGCCUGAUCCAGCCAUGCCGCGUGAGUGAUGAAGGCCCUAGGGUUGUAAAGCUCUUUCACCGGUGAAGAUAAUGACGGUAACCGGAGAAGAAGCCCCGGCUAACUUCGUGCCAGCCGCCGCGGUAACAC
rnacentral:rRNA from 1 species